rnacentral:lncRNA from 1 species
CCAGGGGGACGUAAUGUUUCCGAGAAGAAGGACAGAAAGAAGACUGGGAGACACCGGAACUCGAAAGAAAAUCGGUAACAAAAUGUGGGUUCGGCCAACAGUGCCCUGUAGGCCUGAAAUUUCGGUCUGGCCAGAGCAAGCAUACAGAAAGGCUGUACCUGGAGGAAGGAAGUGCGGAGCCAGCCUGAGUUGGGAGAAGAGCUCCAGAGAGUGAGUCAAAGCGCUCUGUGUCCUGCUAUUAAUGAUGCCCUCAUAGUCAGAGGAAG